UGUCAUUAAGCUCCAAAACCUCGAGCCCAGCGCCAAGAACCUCCAUCUCUGCAAAACGAAGAUCCAAUCCGUCAAGUCAAUUUCCUAGUGCACAACAAGGUUCAACCCAGAAGCGAUGCAGAGGCCAAAAAUUUCAUAGAUCCUCACGCCUUCGAAGUGCGUUCAUGCAUCAAUGAUUUUAGUCUACUAUCUGCAAGCUCCAAAUGCAAAAGAUGCAGGAAAUGGAUCAAUUAGCAAGUUCUCAGCGAUUGCUUUGCCCACUGACGCGAACACUCUCAAUAAGCUACGGGCAUUGCAUUAUGGACUGAAUAACCAAAAGAACAACCACCAUCAGAUGGUCAGUCAUGAAACUACAAGCU